CAGCAAAAUCGUGUCGUCAAAUAAACAAAAUGUAAAGCAGUCAGUAUUAUUCAAAGAUGGGAUAUUCAUAGAGAAAUUACCUCUCUAUAAUGCUUUGGCAAAAUAUUUAUCAAUUGCAAUUCAAAUAACUGUUAUUGAAGCAAACAACAAUAGAGAUGGGAAUUCGGAGCGAGAACGGGAUUGGGAAGGAGAUUAAGGAAAGUCGGGUAACGGGAAGUGGGAUGCCAAGGUCCCGGAAGCAAGGGAUGUGUGACCUAAUUCAGGAAAAUAGUUCCGUCGCCGUCGCUACAGGGCGCAGGAGAGUUAUGUGGUCUUAUGACAGCAUCGGUGACGUUUGCACAUCAUAGAUAUCACCACGAGACGCCUCCGACCGCCAUAUUGAUUCUUCUGAUGCCACACCAAACGACACUUUACCCCAAAUUCAGAUAACUUGUGCUUCUCCUCCAGGAGGAAAAAGCUUGCAGAUAAAUUAACUUUGUAGAUUAGCUCCAAUUUUGAAACAUAGUUUAAUACAGUGUUAGGUUCGAGUGUUGGCGAAAAGUGGCAUUUUCUAGAUGAAUUUCCUUCAGUGGUCACAUUAGCAUGGACAUAUUUCUAAUGGAAUAUUCAUAUUCCACUUAACAGGACCAUUUAAUGCAUAUGGAUAUCUUACACUUCAUGCCUGCCUUCAACCGCAGCUCGCACACAAAUCACCAAAAUUAUUAUCCGAGAAUCAAUUCGCUCUGCAUAUGCUGGACGAUAACGACAGACCAAAAACUCAAAAUUUAGUGACCACGCAAUCAAAUGCAGAUGAUUUCUGCAAUUGAUUUUGCAUUUACAAUUGUAUCUCCAAAUAAUUAUAUGAUUUUUGUUUUUUUUUUUGACCAUUUUUCUUAGCAAAUAAACAGUGAGAUGCCA